rnacentral:rRNA from 1 species
GACGAACGCUGGCGGCGUGCUUAACACAUGCAAGUCGAACGGAAAGGCCCUGCUUUUGUGGGGUGCUCGAGUGGCGAACGGGUGAGUAACACGUGAGUAACCUGCCCUUGACUUUGGGAUAACUUCAGGAAACUGGGGCUAAUACCGGAUAGGAGCUCCUGCUGCAUGGUGUGUGUUGGAAAGUUUCGGCGGUUGGGGAUGGACUCGGGGCUUAUCAGCUUGUUGGUGGGGUAGUGGCUUACCAAGGCUUUGACGGGUAGCCGGCCUGAGAGGGUGACCGGCCACAUUGGGACUGAGAUACGGCCCAGACGGCUACGGGAGGCAGCGGGGGGGAAUAGUGCACAAUGGGCGGAAGCCUGAUGCAACAGCGCCGCGUGCGGGAUGACGGCCUUCGGGUUGGAAACCGCUUUCGCCUGUGACGAAGCGUGAGUGACGGUAAUGGGUAAAGAAGCACCGGCUAACUACGUG